rnacentral:ncRNA from 2 species
GGCUGCCGCACUGUUCAUGGUUGUCUGCCCGAACCGGCAGACAUGAAAAGGGAAUUCGGUGACACGCCUUGGCGCGAAUCCCGAAGCUGCCCCCGCAACUGUAAUCGGCGAGUCCUGCGCCCCCUCUAGCCACUGGAAUUGAUCCGGGAAGGCUGGCGCAAGGUGAUGACCCGUGAGCCAGGAGACCUGCCAUGCACAUCACCUUCAA